rnacentral:rRNA from 1 species
UACGUAGGGUGCAAGCGUUGUUCGGAUUUAUUGGGCGUAAAGAGCUCGUAGGCGGUCUGUCGCGUCGAUCGUGAAAACUUGGGGCUUAACCCUGAGCUUGCGGUCGAUACGGGCAUGACUGGAGUUCGGCAGGGGAGACUGGAAUUCCUGGUGUAGCGGUGAAAUGCGCAGAUAUCAGGAGGAACACCGGUGGCGAAGGCGGGUCUCUGGGCCGAUACUGACGCUGAGGAGCGAAAGCGUGGGGAGCGAACAGG